UACUCGAGUGGCGAACGGGUGAGUAACACGUGGGUGAUCUGCCCUGCACUCUGGGAUAAGCCUGGGAAACUGGGUCUAAUACCAGAUAGGACCAUGCUUUAGUGUGUGUGGUGGAAAGUUUUUUCGGUGUAGGAUGAGCCCGCGGCCUAUCAGCUUGUUGGUGGGGUAAUGGCCUACCAAGGCGGCGACGGGUAGCCGGACUGAGAGGUUGGUCGGCCACAUUGGGACUGAGAUACGGCCCAG
rnacentral:rRNA from 1 species